rnacentral:tRNA from 1 species
GGGCGUUUAGUGUAGUGGUUAUCACAUUCGCUUCGCAUCUGCGAAAGGUCACCGGUUCAACUCCGGUAUCGUCCA